rnacentral:rRNA from 1 species
AUACGGAGGAUCCGAGCGUUAUCCGGAUUUAUUGGGUUUAAAGGGUGCGCAGGCGGCCAUUUAAGUCAGCGGUUAAAUCGUGGGGCUCAACCCCAUUCUGCCGUUGAUACUGGGUGGCUUGAUUGCGGUCGAGGUUGGCGGAAUUCGUUGUGUAGCGGUGAAAUGCAUAGAUAUGACGAAGAACACCGAUUGCGUAGGCAGCUGACCAGACCGCAAAUGACGCUCAUGCACGAAAGUGCGGGGAUCGAACAGGAUUAGAUACCCUGGUAGUCCGCACAGUAAACGAUAAAUACUUGUUUUCGGCGAUAUAAUGUCGGAGGCAAAGCGAAAGCGAUAAGUAUUCCACCUGGGGAGUACGCCGGCAACGGUGAAACUCAAAGGAAUUGACGGGG